GACGGAGGGGGCAAGCGUUAUUCGGAAUCAUUGGGCGUAAAGGGCGCGUAGGCGGCUUGGCAAGUCCAAGGUGAAAUCCCUCGGCCUAACCGAGGAACUGCCUUUGAUACUGCUUGGCUUGAGGCCGGGAGAUGGUAGCGGAAUUCCCAGUGUAGCGGUGAACUGCGUAGAUAUUGGGAGGAACACCAGUGGCGAAGGCGGCUACCUGGACUGGUUCUGCCGCUGAGGCGCAAAAGCGUCGGGAGCCAACAGG
rnacentral:rRNA from 1 species